AGUGGAAGGGGAAGCCCUGGGUCCUGCUAA
rnacentral:piRNA from 1 species